UACGAAGGGUGCAAACGUUGCUCGGAAUCAUUGGGCGUAAAGCGCACGUAGGCGGCGCUGCAAGUCGGACGUGAAAUCCCUCGGCUCGACCGAGGACGUGCAUCCGAAACUGCAGUGCUCGAGUAUGGAAGAGGGUCGCGGAAUUCUCGGUGUAGAGGUGAAAUUCGUAGAUAUCGGGAGGAACACCAGUGGCGAAGGCGGCGACCUGGGCCAAUACUGACGCUGAGGUGCGAAAGCGUGGGGAGCAAACAGG
rnacentral:rRNA from 1 species